UCGAAUUAUAAGGCUCUGGCUGUGCUGGCCCUUCGGGGCAUGUGCACGUCUCUGCCCGUUAAUCCAACCAACCCCUGUGAACCAACCGUGGGCCGGCUCUGUGAUGGAGUCGUCCCAUGCUUUAUCAUAAACACUGUAUGUCUUCAGAAUGUAAUAUCAAUGCCUUCGCCUUAAAAACGUGAACGGUAAUAAAAUUAAUA
rnacentral:misc_RNA from 1 species